UAGUCAAGUUGGCAACCAAGAAUUAGCACGGC
rnacentral:piRNA from 1 species